GCACAUACGUGUCACCCCAGAUUAGGUCAUGCAGUCAGCGUUACGUGUCACCCCAGAUUAGGCCAUGCAGUCAGCACAUACGUGUCACCCCAGAUUAGGUCAUGCAGUCAGCGUUACGUGUCACCCCAGAUUAGGCCAUGCAGUCAGCACAUACGUGUCACCCCAGAUUAGGUCAUGCAGUCAGCGUUACGUGUCACCCCAGAUUAGGCCAUGCAGUCAGCACAUACGUGUCACCCCAGAUUAGGUCAUGCAGUCAGCGUUACGUGUCACCCCAGAUUAGGCCAUGCAGUCAGCACAUACGUGUCACCCCAGAUUAGGUCAUGCAGUCAGCGUUACGUGUCACCCCAGAUUAGGCCAUGCAGUCAGCACAUACGUGUCACCCCAGAUUAGGUCAUGCAGUCAGCGUUACGUGUCACCCCAGAUUAGGCCAUGCAGUCAGCACAUACGUGUCACCCCAGAUUAGGUCAUGCAGUCAGCGUUACGUGUCACCCCAGAUUAGGCCAUGCAGUCAGCACAUACGUGUCACCCCAGAUUAGGUCAUGCAGUCAGCGUUACGUGUCACCCCAGAUUAGGCCAUGCAGUCAGCACAUACGUGUCACCCCAGAUUAGGUC